rnacentral:rRNA from 1 species
UACGUAGGGUCCGAGCGUUGUCCGGAGUUACUGGGCGUAAAGCGCGCGCAGGCGGCGGUGUUGGCCCGGCGUGAAAGCCCCCGGCUCCAACCGGGGAGAGUCGUCGGGGACCGCACCGCUUGAGGGCGGUAGGGGGCUGGUGGAAUGCCUGGUGUAGGUGGUGAAAUGCGUAGAGAUCAGGCAGAACACCUGGGGCGAAGGCGGCCAGCUGGGCCGUCCCUGACGCUGAGGCG